AAGUCGUAACAAGGUUUCCGUAGGUGAACCUGCGGAAGGAUCAUUACAGUAGUCACCCGGGGCGCCGCAAGGCCUCCCGGGUAACCUACCACCCUUUGUUUAUUACACUUUGUUGCUUUGGCAGGCCUGCCCUCGGGCUGCUGGCUCCGGCCGGCGAGCGCUUGCCAGAGGACCUAAACUCUGUUUGUCUAUACUGUCUGAGUACUAUAUAAUAGUUAAAACUUUCAACAACGGAUCUCUUGGUUCUGGCAUCGAUGAAGAACGCAGCGAAAUGCGAUAAGUAAUGUGAAUUGCAGAAUUCAGUGAAUCAUCGAAUCUUUGAACGCACAUUGCGCCCCCUGGUAUUCCGGGGGGCAUGCCUGUCCGAGCGUCAUUACAACCCUCAAGCUCAGCUUGGUGUUGGGCCCCGCCGCCCCGGCGGGCCCUAAAGUCAGUGGCGGUGCCAUCCGGCUCCGAGCGUAGUAAUUCUUCUCGCUCUGGAGGUCCGGUCGUGUGCUUGCCAUCAACCCCCAAUUUUUUUCAGGUUGACCUCGGAUCAGGUAGGGAUACCCGCUGAACUUAAGCAUAUCAAUAAGCGGAGGAAAAGAAACCAACAGGGAUUACCUCAGUAACGGCGAGUGAAGCGGUAACAGCUCAAAUUUGAAAUCUGGCCUCACGGUCCGAGUUGUAAUUUGUAGAGGAUGCUUCGAGCAUGGUCUGGCCUAAGUUCCUUGGAACAGGACGUCAUAGAGGGUGAGAAUCCCGUAUGCGGCCAGGUGCCUACGCUCAUGUGAAGCUCCUUCGACGAGUCGAGUUGUUUGGGAAUGCAGCUCAAAAUGGGUGGUAAAUUUCAUCUAAAGCUAAAUAUUGGCCAGAGACCGAUAGCGCACAAGUAGAGUGAUCGAAAGAUGAAAAGCACUUUGGAAAGAGAGUUAAACAGUACGUGAAAUUGUUGAAAGGGAAGCGCUUGCAACCAGACUUGCGCGCGGCCGAUCAUCCGGUGUUCUCACCGGUGCACUCGGCCGUGCUCAGGCCAGCAUCGGUUUUGGCGGCUGGAUAAAGGCCCUAGGAAUGUAGCUCCUCUCGGGGAGUGUUAUAGCCUAGGGUGCAAUGCAGCCUGCUGGGACCGAGGACCGCGCUUCGGCUAGGAUGCUGGCGUAAUGGUUGUAAGCGGCC
rnacentral:rRNA from 1 species